AUGUACGGCGCGCCGGUGUCCAAGGACCUGAGCCUGCAGCCAGCCGGGGUGCGGACGCCGCCGCAGAUGAGCUCGCCGGGGUUGCUGCGGUACAGGUCAGCGCCGAGCACGCUGCUCGGGGAGGUCUGCGGCGACUUCGUCCUCCCCGUUGGUGGUGGUGGUGGUGGGCAGCUGCAGCUGCACCCAGCGGCCGGGGAGCCCGGACCACGCCGCGGACACCGUCCUCGCGCGCUUCCUCGCCGGCCAUGGCGGCCACGACAACAAGCCUCCCCGCCCGCCGCCCACUUCGCCCCACCGAAGACUCCAUGGCCUCGCAUCAGCAGCAGCUCAUGUACCAUCGCAUCAGCAGCAGCAGCAGAUGGCUUCCGCCAUGGAGGGACUCUACCGCACCGUCAGCUCUGGCGGCACGGAGUCCACCGCCGCCGCCGCCGGCACAGCCUCCUCCGGCAGAGCAGCUCCCCCCCCGCCGGCUUCCUCAACCAUCUUACCAUGGACAACGGUUGGAUACGGGAGGAAUAUGCUAAGAGCGGGCAUGGGAGGCGGCGGCGGUGGCGGCGACCCGCGGCUCAAGGGCAGCUCAGCUUCUCGUCGCGGCAGGGGUCGGUGAUGUCCCAGAUCUCGGAGAUGGCAGCGAGGACGAGGAGCUCGCCGGCGGCGGCGGCAGCCCGGAGGCUGGGCAGCAACGGCGGUGGCGCCGCACGCGGCGGCUACGGCGGCGGGUACGCGAUGGGGUCCUCCGCCUGGGAGGAGCCCUCGCCGCCGGCGACGUCGCUCCUCCCGGACAGCAGCCUCCCGUCCAAGCGCCCCCGCGACGACCUGCCGCGGCAGCUCAGCCUCCCGGCGGCGUCCAAGAGCAGCAGCAAGCCCCCUUCCUCCGCCUCCGCCGCCGCGUCGCCGGAUGUCCGCUCGAGAAGUUCCUCCAGUUCCAGGACGCCGUCCCCUGCAGAUCGCGCCAAGCGCGGCUGCGCACCCCCCCCGCAGCUCGCCGAGCGGUCCGUA
rnacentral:lncRNA from 1 species